UACGUAGGGCGCAAGCGUUGUCCGGAAUUAUUGGGCGUAAAGAGCUCGUAGGCGGCUUGUCACGUCGGAUGUGAAAGCCCGGGGCUUAACCCCGGGUCUGCAUCCGAUACGGGCAGGCUAGAGUGUGGUAGGGGAGAUCGGAAUUCCUGGUGUAGCGGUGAAAUGCGCAGAUAUCAGGAGGAACACCGGUGGCGAAGGCGGAUCUCUGGGCCAUUACUGACGCUGAGGAGCGAAAGCGUGGGGAGCGAACAGG
rnacentral:rRNA from 1 species